rnacentral:rRNA from 1 species
UGGGGAAUAUUGGACAAUGGGGGAAACCCUGAUCCAGCAAUGCCGCGUGAGUGAUGAAGGCCUUCGGGUUGUAAAGCUCUUUUGUCAGGGACGAUGAUGACGGUACCUGACGAAUAAGCUCCGGCUAACUUCGUGCCAGCAGCCGCGGUAAUACGAGGGGAGCUAGCGUUGUUCGGAAUUACUGGGCGUAAAGGGCGUGUAGGCGGUAUCAUAAGUCAGAUGUGAAAGCCCUAGGCUUAACCUAGGAGGUGCAUUUGAUACUGUGAAACUAGAGAUCGAGAGAGGAAAGUGGAAUUACGAGUGUAGAGGUGAAAUUCGUAGAUAUUCGUAAGAACACCAGUGGCGAAGGCGACUUUCUGGCUCGAUACUGACGCUAAGGCGCGAAAGCGUGGGGAGCAAAC